AUGACAUCGGGGCGUCAAAUCCCUACUGUGUAUGAUGAUACUGCCUUCACCUUCCACUCGGGCACUGGGCUUGUGGUUCAGAACCACCUCAACCAUGUCUCUGUCUCCGAGGCGUUGCUUGAUAAAGACAAUUGGCUGAUAUCUAAGAAGACUGGCGAGUAUGCCUUCGCAAAGCUGGACGACUGGAACACCGCCCCACUGACCCCAGAGCGAGAGCUAGGCGACUUCAGAGCAUUGCACUCAAGGUUUGUGAACAUCCUGCGGCAAACAAAUGGCAGGGACUAUGAGGACAUGUUGCCGCCCGACCUCAAGGACUUCCUGGAGAAGCUGAUCGCUGAUGACCUCAAGGUCCAGCACAUCGUUUGCCAUUCCUUCUUCUUACCGUGCCUCUCCAAGUUCCUUCUAAGGGUACUUCUUGAUGUGAAACUGAAGCGGCCACUGCUAACCGCUGACUGCCAGAAGCGAAACGACAUCAAGAAGAUGUUUGUCGAGAUGCCCUAUGUCGAUGUGGAAGGCAAUGUGCUCCGGAAGAUUGUGGAGAACAACGUCUUCCUCCGUUCCUGGCAGAAGCGUAUUGAUGAAGACAAGGCCAGAUGGAGCCUGGAGGAGCCAGAGAAGACCGAGAGAGCAAUGGGCUUUGAUGAAGAAAAGGCCGGAUGGAGCUUUAUGGAGCCAGAGAAGAUGACGCUGAGCAUUGAUCAGGAAGGGGCAAGAUGGGGCUUGAUCGAGCAACAGAGGACUGGGAGACCACUGGACCCACUGGACCCUAGAGUUCAGAUUGCCAGCAAGCUUAUUGCUGUGCUGAGGGCUGGCUGCCUUCAUUAUCAUAAGCCAAACCUUCCCAAGGAAUUUGAGGGACUGCUGCAGGGGAUAACCAUCGACAAAGUCAUACGUAUGAUGAACAUUGAGUUCCCAAAGUUUGAGCAGAGGACGCUCGAACUGUUGGCCGAGCACGGCCUCUGGGAUCAUCUUGAGAUCGUCAAACUAUUUGGCAAGUAUGCCGCGAGGCUCCAGGAGGUAAUUGAGAGGGACAAGGUCCGCCCAGCGGAGAAGGCUGCAAAGUCGGCGAAGGCACGCCAGUAG
rnacentral:rRNA from 1 species